rnacentral:rRNA from 1 species
AGGGGGAUAACUACUGGAAACGGUAGCUAAUACCGCAUAACGUCGCAAGACCAAAGAGGGGGACCUUCGGGCCUCUUGCCAUCGGAUGUGCCCAGAUGGGAUUAGCUAGUAGGUGGGGUAACGGCUCACCUAGGCGACGAUCCCUAGCUGGUCUGAGAGGAUGACCAGCCACACUGGAACUGAGACACGGUCCAGACUCCUACGGGAGGCAGCAGUGGGGAAUAUUGCACAAUGGGCGCAAGCCUGAUGCAGCCAUGCCGCGUGUAUGAAGAAGGCCUUCGGGUUGUAAAGUACUUUCAGCGGGGAGGAAGGGAGUAAAGUUAAUACCUUUGCUCAUUGACGUUACCCGCAGAAGAAGCACCGGCUAACUCCGUGCCAGCAGCCGCGGUAAUACGGAGGGUGCAAGCGUUAAUCGGAAUUACUGGGCGUAAAGCG